AUUGAACGUUGGCGGUGUGCCUAAUACAUGCAAGUCGAACGGAGUUAGUAGCAAUACUGGCUCAGUGGCGAACGGGUGAGUAACGCGUUGGUGAUCUGCCUUGAAGUGUGGAAUAACGUUUCGAAAGGAACGCUAAUACCGCAUGUGCUCUCGAUUUUCAGAAAGUUGAGAGUAAAGGACUUAUUCGCUUCAAGAGGAGCCUGCGUCCCAUCAGCUGGUUGGUAGGGUAACGGCCUACCAAGGCUAUGACGGGUAGGGGACCUGAGAGGGUGGCCCCCCACAAUGGAACUGAAACACGGUCCAUACACCUACGGGUGGCAGCAGUAGGGAAUAUUAGAAAUGGACGAAAGUCUGAUCUAGCAACACCGCGUGUGCGAAGAAGGCCUUCGGGUCGUAAUGCACUUUUUGGAAGGAAUAGGAAGGAAUGUACUUCCAGAAUAAGUCUCGGCUAACUACGUGCCAGCCGCCGCAGUAAUAC
rnacentral:rRNA from 1 species